GCGCCCUCGUAGCUCAGGGGAUAGAGCAUCGGUUUCCUAAACCGUGUGUCGCAAGUUCGAAUCUUGCCGGGGCACUCC
rnacentral:tRNA from 1 species